AGAAAACAAAGAAGACAUUGCUUUUUCUUUUUCAUGCUCUGCCCGCAAAAAAGUGUACAAUAUUCAAAAUGAAUUCGCAAUCCCAGCGGCGCAGGAGAGUGACGUCACGGCUUCUCCUGUUCUCCAGCUGCAGCCCAGAAACUGCUCACGUUUUUUAAGGUGACAUCGUAUUUUGCCGAUUUCCCAAAGUCUGUUAGAAAAGGUCUGAUUUCCUACAACUCUAACAGAGUUCUAGAUGUCAACAUGAGACACAGACAGUAGCGGCGUUUCUCUACACGGAGCGUUGGUGCCGGGCUGACUCCUCCUAUUCAGACACGUGUGUUUGUUUACAACCUAUGGAGCACGAAAUGCAAAGAGGAGCAACGUCGACCGACAAGCUUUGUACAUAGACGAGUUGCAUCAAGUCCAGGCAAGGGACACGCAGAAAUUCUACCCCUGUCGUUGUCCAGCGUGACAGUCUGACCGUCAACGGUAUUUUUUCAUACACAUGCAUUUCCUGAAAAUUACUGCUGAGGAGCAGCAUGAGUCUCCAGAUGAGGAGGAGAUCAAUUAUUUGAGAAAAACAAUCAUUGACAUCGAUGAUCCUGGUCAGAGGUUCAGGAAAAGGAGACGGCUCUGAUGAGGAAUAUAUUCCUCACCUUUGUUUAUGGACAACUUCAGACUUCGAGAACUUCCAAAAUCACAUCCUGAUGUUUGCAGGAAAGCAUUUUGGCUUUAGCCCACCUGUAUACACAGCUCAGACAUUGCUUGUAACACUUGGUUACAACCACCGCCUCCCUGCACGAAACCGUGAUGGGACACAAGAUUUACCGAUGGUUCUACAAUAAAAACAUGAAGAGCGGGAGUGUGUAUACCCUGAAAGAGAAAAAGGACUAUGGCUACUGUACAUCCCUGAACUACAGAAGGCCACUCUUUCAAAGAGGCUUCAGAGUGGAAAGGGCCUUCCCAGGAGACAGAGUCUGAGGCCUGGAGAUCCAAGGCCCCUGGGUCUGCUGCCACAUCACAACCACAACCACACAUGGACUGGUAAAAACUAAGGUGUCACGUGGAGAUGCAGGUCCUCAUGAUGACAGCUAAAACUUU